GAUGAACGCUGGCGGCGUGCCUAAUACAUGCAAGUCGAGCGAACAGAUGAGGAGCUUGCUCCUCUGACGUUAGCGGCGGACGGGUGAGUAACAUGUGGAUAACCUACCUAUAAGACUGGGAUAACUUCGUGAAACCGGAGCUAAUACCGGAUAAUAUAUUGAACCGCAUGGUUCAAUAGUGAAAGACGGUUUUGCUGUCACUUAUAGAUGGAUCCGCGCUGCAUUAGCUAGUUGGUAAGGUAACGGCUUACCAAGGCAACGAUGCGUAGCCGACCUGAGAGGGUGAUCGGCCACACUGGAACUGAGACACGAUCCAGACUCCUACGGGAGGCAGCAGUAGGGAAUCGUCCGCGAUGGGCGAAAGCCUGCAGGAGCAACGCCGCGUGAGUGAUGAAGGGCUGCGGAUCGUAUAACUCUGUUAUUAGGGAAGACCAAAUGUGUAAGUAACUAUGCACGUCUUGACGGUACCUAAUCAGAAAGCCACGGCUAACUACGUG
rnacentral:rRNA from 1 species